GCCUUUACUGACGCUAAAGCUCGAAGGUGCGGGUAUCGAACAGGAUUAGAUACCCUGGUAGUCCGCACGGUAAACGAUGGAUGCCCGCUGUUUGCGAUAUAGUGUGAGCGGCCAAGAGAAAUCGUUAAGCAUCCCACCUGGGGAGUACGCCGGCAACGGUGAAACUCAAAGGAAUUGACGGGGGCCCGCACAAGCGGAGGAACAUGUGGUUUAAUUCGAUGAUACGCGAGGAACCUUACCCGGGCUUGAACUGCAGCGGAAGGAUACAGAGAUGUUGACGCCCUUCGGGGCCGCUGUGGAGGUGCUGCAUGGUUGUCGUCAGCUCGUGCCGUGAGGUGUCGGCUUAAGUGCCAUAACGAGCGCAACCCCUUUCAUUAGUUGCCAUCAGGUUAUGCUGGGCACUCUAGUGAUACUGCCACCGUAAGGUGUGAGGAAGGUGGGGAUGACGUCAAAUCAGCACGGCCCUUACGUCCGGGGCUACACACGUGUUACAAUGGGUGGUACAGAGAGUAAACUGCCGGCAACGUCAGUUCAAUCAAUAAAGCCAUCCUCAGUUCGGAUUGGGGUCUGCAACCCGACCCCAUGAAGCUGGAUUCGCUA
rnacentral:rRNA from 1 species